GAUGAACGCUAGCGGCAGGCUUAACACAUGCAAGUCGAGGGGUAUGCUUCUUCGGAAGCAGAGACCGGCGCACGGGUGCGUAACGCGUAUGCAAUCUACCUUUUACAGAGGGAUAGCCCAGAGAAAUUUGGAUUAAUACCUCAUAGUAUUAUAGAAUGGCAUCAUCUUAUAAUUAAAGUCACAACGGUAAAAGAUGAGCAUGCCGUCCCAUUAGCAGUUGGUAAGGUAACGGCUUACCAAGGCUACGA
rnacentral:rRNA from 1 species